GCUGGGUGUGGUGACGCUUACCUGUAGUCCCAGCUACUUGGGAGGCUGAGGUGGGAGGAUCACCUGAGCCCAGGAUGUCGAGGCUGCGGUGAGCCAUUAUCGUGCCACAGCACUCCAGCCUGGGUGACAGAGUGAGAUCCCGUUUCAA
rnacentral:SRP_RNA from 1 species